UAAAAUUGAAAAUAAGUAAAAUCACAUAGUUUUUUCGAGAUCAAUUUGCUUCUUUCUUAUUGGUCAUAUCAAAUUAAAUUUGUGUGCACAUAUAUAUAGAAAAAUACAUGUGUGUGUAUUUCGUACAAGCUCGUACCACUUCCCCAACAAUUCCCGCGCGUACGUUUGGCGUGCAGUAUUAGUGCGUCGUUGUAAACAGUAGUUGAGAUGUUUAACCUCAUCUAACAUGCGUCGUUAACCGCUUUAGACUGUUUGUGAUCGUGCGCGAUGCGAUCAGUGGAGUCAGCGUUUACACAUUAGCUCUAAUUAAUUGUAUUGUAAAUACAAUUAGGGUCACAGUUAAUUGUAUCUACAGUAUAUUGUAUGAAAAAUACAAUUCAUUCGCGAAAUUACAGUCAAUGUUUGUUCGUCGAUUAUAAUUCAAAUGGCCGCGUUAAUAGUAGUCUUUUAUUUUUCUAAAUAAUUUUUUUUAAAAUAAUUUUUUUUUAAAUAAUUCAUAAUAUAUAGCUUUUUAAGUAUUCGUUCUCUCAGAAACUCAAAACCUCUCUCAAAAGGAUCCAUCCUCUACAUAACUCAAAAAUGACUUUUCACAACCUCCACAUCUACGAUAAAGUUUGAUGACGGUUUCUUUUGGGCCACACCAACAUUGAUAACAACGUUCUCCGCAUCUAAUCCAAUGCAGGAUAGUAAAUGUAGAAAAUGGAAAAUGGGAAUAGAGUGGCAAUCAAACAGCGAUAUGCGGUAAGAAGAAUCGUUCCCAAAAAGGCGGGUGACCGUUAAGGUCCGCGACCUCUGGAAUGAACCUUCGACUCGAAUCAUGGAUAUUCGUACGGAGCUUUUGUGACAGUACCGCCGCCAGUAUUCGUGACUGUUUUAACGACACCUUAACCAGAGGACAAAAAGUUGUCCAACAAGCGUACAACGAAUCGCAUUCAACGCCAUCCACACGCCACACGCAAAGUUCAAAGAAACUCGCAACAUCAUGUACCACUUCAAAGUAAUGUGUUAAAAGCGGCAAAAAGCGUGAUCGCUCGAACCGUUAAGCGAAAAAUGGUACAGCACGAGUUCUACGUUUUAUAAAUGACAUAGUUUUAUUUUUUUAUUAUCAUAUUCCUCGUAUACACGAUCAUACAUAAGUAUUUAGGCACUUGCAAAUUAAUAUCUAGCAAAAACAUAUAGCAAAUGUAUUGUAAAGCAAUUAAGUUAGAAAAAUACA